rnacentral:tRNA from 1 species
GGCGUCGUGCGCCGAGCGGCUAAGGCAGUGGAUUGCAAAUCCAUUUUUCGCGGGUUCGAGUCCCGCCGACGCCU